AAAUUAUAAUUUCAGCUACUCCAACGAGAGCUCUGGAAGAGCUUCACAAAUCGCUCUUCCACAGUUACCGAUCAUCAAAACCCACAUUUAUCUCUCCGCCGCUGCCGAGUUCACUCACCGACUCAGUCUCUCAUAGCCACAGCGACACCUUGAAAACCCUACAAUGGCCUUCCGUUUGCAAACAUGUGUCGGCCUUCACUUCCACCACCACGGGCUUCGCCGCAGCACCAGACGGUCGGCUUCCGCUGGGACGAAGCCUGGAGGAGAGCCGGAAGCUUUUGGAUCAAACCACCGCCGCGUCGGCCCUUCCUCGGCCGUUGGAUUUUGCAGGAAUCGAGGACGUGUCGGAGAUCGUGAAUUCUUCUGUCUUUAGUGAAUUGAUCACGAUUGCAUGUGUAUGUUGCAGGGAAGGAAUGUUUAUACAUACUAUGCGCUGAAGAUGUCUUAAAUAUUUUUGCUGGUGCCUCCCAUCCUCUUUUGAAUCCUUGGAACGAGCACCAAAGGACCACAUGUUAUCGGAUGCCCCUUAUAUGUGUCAAUGACAUUCAACUUCACCAGCAGGGUUGGAUUCCACAAGCCCCAUUCCCUUCAAUGGGUACCAAUAUAACUGCUUCCAAUCAGGCUCUAAAUUCUCCUCCAAUUUUAGAGUUUUCAGGGAAGUGUAGGUAAAAUUGGAGUGGCAUCUGAUGAGAAUCCCCAAUAACAAGAAAGAAGCCGAAGCCAAGUUUAAGCAGAUCUAGGUUCUAAGUGAUCCGCAGAAAAGAGCAACAAUAUGGUGAAGACGGGCUAAAGGGUCAGGUGCCACAUCCACCAGACGGCGGCUCUACCUUUUCUCAACCGGAGACUGCCCGACUACAUUUAGAUUCAAUCCGGACUAUUAUUCUCCUCCAAUUUUACCCGGACUUGGUGUCCGGUAAGAAAAUGUACCUGAAAACUCUAAAAUUCCUGGUUGGGAGCCGUUAUAUUGUUACCCAUUGAAGGGAAUGGGGCUUGUGGAAUCCAACUCUGCUGGUGAAGUUGAAUGUCAUUGACAGAAGAGGGCAUCUGAUACCCUGUGGCCAUUUGGUGCCCAUUCCAAGGAUUCAAAAAAGGAUUGGAAGCAGCAGCAAAAAUUUUACAACAUUUGUAUAAUUAAGAAAAUAAUUUUUGUAAUAAUUUGUAACAAAGACAUUUAUGUAAAUUAUAUAUGGAAUGAUGGAAACAAGAAAUUUACUUGUAGUUUGGAUAAAGAUCCCUUCGAAUAUGUCAGAUAAAUGAGGUUACUAAAUAUAUGGAUUGUUCAACCCAAUUUGAAGUAGUUGCAAC